GAUGAAGAACGUAGCGAAAUGCGAUAAGUAAUGUGAAUUGCAGAAUUCAGUGAAUCAUCGAAUCUUUGAACGCACAUUGCGCCCGUCAGUAUUCUGGCGGGCAUGCCUGUUCGAGCGUCAUUACGCCCCUCAAGUCCCCUGUGGACUUGGUGUUGGGGAUCGGCGAGGCUGGUUUUCCAGCACAGCCGUCCCUUAAAUUAAUUGGCGGUCUCGCCGUGGCCCUCCUCUGCGCAGUAGUAAAACACUCGCAACAGGAGCCCGGCGCGGUCCACUGCCGUAAAACCCCCCAACUUUUUAUAGUUGACCUCGAAUCAGGUAGGACUAUCCGCUGAACUUAAGCAUAUCAAUAAGCGGAGGA
rnacentral:misc_RNA from 1 species